rnacentral:rRNA from 1 species
CAGCCGCCACGGUAACACCGAGGGUGCGAGCGUUAAUCGGAUUUACUGGGCGUAAAGCGUGCGUAGGCGGCUUUUUAAGUCGGAUGUGAAAUCCCUGAGCUUAACUUAGGAAUUGCAUUCGAUACUGGGAAGCUAGAGUAUGGGAGAGGAUGGUAGAAUUCCAGGUGUAGCGGUGAAAUGCGUAGAGAUCUGGAGGAAUACCGAUGGCGAAGGCAGCCAUCUGGCCUAAUACUGACGCUGAGGUACGAAAGCAUGGGGAGCAAACAGGAUUAGAUACCCCUGUAGUCCCUGUCUCUUAUAC